GACGAACGCUGGCGGCGUGCUUAACACAUGCAAGUCGAACGGAAAGGCCCUGCUUUUGUGGGGUGCUCGAGUGGCGAACGGGUGAGUAACACGUGAGUAACCUGCCCUUGACUUUGGGAUAACUUCAGGAAACUGGGGCUAAUACCGGAUAGGAGCUCCUGCUGCAUGGUGGGGGUUGGAAAGUUUCGGCGGUUGGGGAUGGACUCGCGGCUUAUCAGCUUGUUGGUGGGGUAGUGGCUUACCAAGGCUUUGACGGGUAGCCGGCCUGAGAGGGUGACCGGCCACAUUGGGACUGAGAUACGGCCCAGACUCCUACGGGAGGCAGCAGUGGGGAAUAUUGCACCAUGGGCGGAAGCCUGAUGCAGCAACGCCGCGUGCGGGAUGACGGCCUUCGGGUUGUAACCCGCUUUCGCCUGUGACGAAGCGUGAGUGACGGUAAUGGGUAAAGAAGCACCGGCUAACUACGUG
rnacentral:rRNA from 1 species